rnacentral:rRNA from 1 species
CCGAUUAGGAGAGUGAAAUAGUUCCUGAAACCAUGCGCCUACAAGCGGUCGGAGCUGUUAAUUCAGUGACGGCGUGCCUUUUGCAUAAUGAACCUACGAGUUACCAUGUCUGGCAAGGAUAAGUGUCAUGAGACAUGCAUCCGCAGUGAAAGCGAGCCUGAAUAGGGCGUCGAGUCAGAUGGGGUAGACGCGAAACCAAGUGAUCUACACUUGCCCAGGUUGAAGUCCGGGUAACACCGGAUGGAGGACCGCACGGAUAAGCGUUGAAAAGCUUCCCGAUGAGGUGAGUGUAGGAGUGAAAGGCCAAUCAAACUUGGAGAUAGCUCGUACUCCCCGAAAGGCAUUUAGGUGCCGCGUGCAGUGUUCUCCCCGAGAGGUAGAGCGACCGAUAGGACGCGAGGGCUUCACCGCCUAUCAAGUCCUGACGAACUCCGAAUGCUCAGGGGACUGUAGCUGCGCAGUAAGGGGACGGGUGCUAAGGUCCGUUCCCGAGAGGAGAAGAAUCCAGACCGCCGUCUAAGGUCCCGGAGUUCUGCCUGAGUUAGUCUAACGAAGUCUGGUCCCCGCGACAGCCAGGAUGUUGGCUUGGAAGCAGCCAUUCAUUUAAAGAGUGCGUAACAGCUCACUGGUCGAGGGUCCGGGCGUGGAUAAUAAUCGGGUAUAAGGCAGACACCGAAGACGCGGGAUAGCAAUGUAUAUUAAAAGUAUCGGUAGGGGAGCAUUCCAUCGGCGUCGAAUGCGGCGAGACGAUUGUCGCUGGAGCUUAUGGAAAAGCAAAUGUAGGUAUAAGUAACGAUAAGGGGGGUAAGAUCCCCCCCCGCCGUAAGACUAAGGUUUCCCGGGCAAUGCCAAUCAUCCCGGGGUCAGUCGGGUCCUAAGGCUCAGCCGAACGGCGAGGCCGAUGGCAGAAAGGGUCAACAUUCCCUUACUGCCGCACGGAGCGACGCGGAGACGGAGGCGUGACACCACCGCGGAGAUACGGAAUUCUCCGUUGAAGAGUGUAGAUGUUGAGGGCGGCAGGCAAAUCCACCGCCCGAGUCGAACCUCGAAAGUAUGCCGUUCCCUUCGGGGAAAGGCAAUAGCGUGGGUAAUCAUACUCCCUAGAAAAUCCGCUAAGCUUCAUCCGUGCGGCACCCGUACCGCAAACGGACACACGUAGUCGGGUAGAACAUACUGAGGCGUUGAGAGAUUCAUGGUUAAGGAACUAGGCAAACUGACCCCGUAACUUCGGGAUAAGGGGUCCUCGUCGCAAGGCGAGGCGCAGAGAAUAGGUCCAGGCAACUGUUUAACAAAAACACAGGGCUGUGCAAACUCGAAAGAUGACGUAUACAGCCUGACACCUGCCCGGUGCCGGAAGGUUAAGAGGAGAGCUCAUCCUUUUAAGGUGAAGGUUUGAAUUGAAGCCCCGGUAAACGGCGGCCGUAACUAUAACGGUCCUAAGGUAGCGAAAUUCCUUGUCGGGUAAGUUCCGACCUGCACGAAUGGUGUAAUGAUCCGGACGCUGUCUCAACCAUGAUCUCAGUGAAAUUGUAGUAUCGGUGAAGAUGCCGAUUACCCGCGAUGGGACGAAAAGACCCCGUGAACCUUUACUGCA